CUCGCGUAUAUCCUUCUUCAUUCAAAGACCCUAACCCUAACUCCUCCUUCUUCAAACAUUAAGCCCUAACUCCGAUGACACUCCGCGACGACGAACCACUCUUGCGACGACGUCACUCCGACGAAGAACUACUCCGACGACACUCUGUGAAGAACGUAGCUGCGCUCGCAAUGCCUCCACCGACAAUCCCUCUUCAGGUACCCCUAACCCUCAUUCUGCGGUGACUCUCUAGCAGUGACUCCCUCCGCUCAGUUGCCGUCGCAAACCUGCCGUCGAUGCUCCCUUUGCUGCCGUUCCCUUCCAUUUUUGCAAACCCUAACUCCUUCGGCGCUGCUCCCUUCCUGCUUAGCUUUGGAAGAAACUAGAUUCUCUAGGCAUUCAUCGAUCUUAGCUUCUUGCUUCUUUGAUUUGAAAAAGUUUUAAAACUUGCGAAGAACAUGCGUGGACUUACCCGCUGAUGAAGAACGCAUCACAGGGUGUCAAAAAUAGAAGAGGUUGUGCCUCCUAUUCUCACCAAGUUAGGCAAGUAGAUUCUGUCUUUGUUUUUCUUCAAAAUGUCCACAUUCGGUUCCGCCAAUACAAAUCCCAACAAAUCAUACGAGGUAACCCAGCCACCUGGUGAUUCAAUUUCCAGCCUUUGUUUCAGUUCCAAGGCCAAUUUUCUUGUCACUACUUCAUGGGAUAACCAGGUUUGAGUUUGACUUGGAUAUUAGGGCAUAUUUUUUUGUUAAUAUUUUUUGUUAUUUCUAUUUUUUAAUAUUAGUUCACAAAAAAAAAAUGGUCACAAUGUUAUCUUUUUGGUGUUUCUUGCUUUUACCAUUAACUUCUCAAACUGAAAGUGAUAAGAUGUUUUUUGUAAUUAGUAUUAGAAAGAAGAAAUGGUGACAGAAAAUACUUCUAAAACUAAACCAGCUCUUCAAAUUUGUGUGAAGAAAAGGCUCUUAUGUUGGUUUAAUUGUUUGAUAGACAAAUAUUUUUUUUUGGUGAAUUUCUUUUGUCAAUAUCGUACGUUUGAUGUUGGGAGAUUGCAAGGAAUGGAACUGUUAUCAACAGCACACCCAAGGCUUCAAUAUCUCAUGACCAACCAGUUUUAUGCUCCACUUGGAAGGAUGAUGGAACAACGGUUUUCUCCGGAGGCUGCGACAAACAAGUCAAGAUGGUGUCAAGGUUUUAUAUAGAACAAAGGAGCUGGAAGAGCAACAAGCAAAGAGGAUGCUGGUAUGGAGUGGAUUCUUCACCUUGAUACAGAUGAAUUAAUGCACCCAGCGGGUGCUCGAGAGUAUUCUUUGAGGCAGUUGCUUCAUGAGGUUCUAGGAAAUGUAGACGUGGUCAUAUUUCCCAACUAUGUGAGCAGUGUUGAGCGAGAUGAUAUUAAAGAACCUUUUAGUGAGCUAUCAAUGUUUAAGAAGAAUUAUGACCAUCUUCCAAAAGAUAUAUACUUUGGCAAUUACAAAGAUUCUGUACGUGGGAUUCCAAACUACUUUCUGACUUAGGAAAAUGGUAAAUCAGCUGCCUGUAUACAAGAUCAUCUUCGUCCAAAUGGUGCACACAAAUGGGAUAACUACAUGAAAUCCCCAAAUGAGAUCAAGUUGGAGGUGGCUGCUGUUUUGCAUUACACAUGCUAAAUUCUCAUACCUCACUUCCAGACGUGAUCGCUGUGGUUGCAAACCUACCAAAGAAGAUGUAAAAAGAUGCUUCAUGUUGGAAUUUGACAGAUCUUAAGUACAAUUACUCUCUGCUGCUACAAGGACAAUAACACAGCCAUGGCUGCUUCAGUUUCAACCAUAGGAGCUGUCAAAGGAAAACCAAUAUG